rnacentral:rRNA from 1 species
GAUGAACGCUGGCAGCGUGCCUAAUACAUGCAAGUCGAGCGAACAGACGAGGAGCUUGCUCCUCUGACGUUAGCGGCGGACGGGUGAGUAACACGUGGAUAACCUACCUAUAAGACUGGGAUAACUUCGGGAAACCGGAGCUAAUACCGGAUAAUAUAUUGAACCGCAUGGUUCAAUAGUGAAAGACGGUUUUGCUGUCACCUAUAGAUGGAUCCGCGCCGCAUUAGCUAGUUGGUAAGGUAACGGCUUACCAAGGCAACGAUGCGUAGCCGACCUGAGAGGGUGAUCGGCCACACUGGAACUGAGACACGGUCCAGACUCCUACGGGAGGCAGCAGUAGGGAAUCUUCCGCAAUGGGCGAAAGCCUGACGGAGCAACGCCGCGUGAGUGAUGAAGGUCUUCGGAUCGUAAAACUCUGUUAUUAGGGAAGAACAAAUGUGUAAGUAACUAUGCACGUCUUGACGGUACCUAAUCAGAAAGCCACGGCUAACUACGUG